ensembl:snoRNA LOC120102054 small nucleolar RNA SNORA17
UGUGCAGAAACAGUGCAGAUGUGGCUGCUGUGUCACAUGAGUAUCAGUAGCUGGCAGAGAGGAGAUGGGCUAUGUCUAUGUUGAGUGUUCUGAUCUAUGAGCAUCUGAACAAUCAGUAGCCUGACAAU